AUGGAUACCCCAUUCUCCUUUGUAGAUGCAAAUAAUUCAUAUGUUGUUGCUAGAUCGCUUAAUGAGCAUAAUGUAUCGGCUAGCCCUAAUUUCAUCAAUUAUGCAUGUAAUUAUGUGCAAGGGCCAAUGCAAAAUAAUCUUCAUGCUUCAAAUUCUUAUGAUUUUAGCAACAUACAACAUAUGUAUCCUAACUCUCAUGCAUUAGCAACCCCACAAAUCCAUAUGCCGAUAAACAACAUGAUGAGUUCGGUUAAUCAAGUUGAAACACCUCACAUAGGGAUUUACAUUAGUAUGCAACAAAAUGUUUCACCUUUUUAUUGUCCAGCAACUAACUUGCAAUAUGUUAAUCCAAACAUGCCGGUUCAGAGAGAAAUUGGCCAUGCUACUAUUAGUUAUCCGACCAAUUGCCCUCAACAAUUAUAUGCUACACCUCAUGCUACUAAUUUUUUGGCACCAUAUGCAACUGUAGGUAUUCAUAAUUCGGCUUCGCACCUUCACGCUAAUAGCCGAAUAAGUGAAAAUUCUAUAGGAUCACAUGGUGUUCACCUACUACCAUGGCAAAUCAUGUCCCCCCUACACAAUUAUAGAAUUUCGGCAACAUCUCAUUGUCGAAAGAGUCUAGAGGCAUUGGGGGGCAACCGUAUCCAGACUGGGUAA
rnacentral:rRNA from 1 species